rnacentral:lncRNA from 1 species
UGAAAUGCAAAAUUUAGAAAAGUCUGUACUCCAUUUCGAUAACCGUCGCUUACCCUUGACAAAUUCAUCCAAGACCGGUCCAUUUCUUAUUUCUUGAUGUCUGAUUUUCACCAGAAAUUACAAGGGUAAGUUGUUCAGUGGUAACUACAAAUGAGUUUUUUGAAAUAUAUAUCAUAUGAUAUAUAUUUAUGUAUUAAGUCAAUUAUGUAAGUUAUGUACGU